UAUCUCUGUAGAGUCUGCAUAUCAAUAAGCGGAGGAAAAGAAACUAACUAGGAUUCCCUCAGUAACGGCGAGUGAAGCGGGAAGAGCUCAAAUUUGAGAUCUUCAAGGUUCCUACCUUGACGAAUUGUAGUUUAAAGAAGUGUUUUCUGUUGGAGUUUUGGUAAAAGUUCUUUGGAAUAGGACAUCAUAGAGGGUGAGAAUCCCGUAUUUGACCAUUAUUUCCAGCUUUGUGAUACACUUUCAAAGAGUCGGAUUGUUUGGGAAUGCAGUCCAAAAUGGGUGGUAAAUUUCAUCUAAAGCUAAAUAUUGGCGAGAGACCGAUAGCGAACAAGUACCGUGAGGGAAAGAUGAAAAGAACUUUGAAAAGAGAGUUAAACAGUACGUGAAAUUGUCAAAAGGGAAGCGUUUGACACCAGUGUUGUUUUCUCGAAAAUCAAUUAAAAAAGGCAGGAUUUUGUGUUGUAUUGACUUUAUCAGCUUUCUGCACUCUUUUCUUGUCUUUUUUUAAUGCACUCUUCGUUUAACAAGUCAACAUCAAUUUCUUUUGUUGUAAAAGGGUCAUUGGAAGGUGGCUUUCUUUUCGGAGAAAGUGUUUAUAGCCUUUGGCCUCUGCAAUCGGAGAGAUUGAGGUCUGCAGCGUAGAUCCUUCGGGGUUAGAUACAUUUGUGCUAAGUUAUAGCCUUUCAUAGACAACUUGUUGACUAUGAUCAGUCAUGUAGCUUACUCGCUUAUGCUAUUUUACCUACGCUUAGGAUGUUGACGAUCAGCUGAGCGCG
rnacentral:rRNA from 1 species